rnacentral:rRNA from 1 species
GACGAACGCUGGCGGCGUGCUUAACACAUGCAAGUCGAACGGAAAGGCCCUGCUUUUGUGGGGUGCUCGAGUGGCGAACGGGUGAGUAACACGUGAGUAACCUGCCCUUGACUUUGGGAUAACUUCAGGAAACUGGGGCUAAUACCGGAUAGGAGCUCCUGCUGCAUGGUGGGGGUUGGAAAGUUUCGGCGGUUGGGGAUGGACUCGCGGCUUAUCAGCUUGUUGGUGGGGUAGUGGCUUACCAAGGCUUUGACGGGUAGCCGGCCUGAGAGGGUGACCGGCCACAUUAGGACUGAGAUACGGCCCAGACUCCUACGGGAGGCAGCAGUGGGGAAUAUUGCACAAUGGGCGGAAGCCUGAUGCAACAACGCCGCGUGCGGGAUGACGGCCUUCGGGUUGUAAACCGCUUUCGCCUGUGACGAAGCGUGAGUGACGGUAAUGGGUAAAGAAGCACCGGCUAACUACGUG